rnacentral:rRNA from 1 species
UACGUAGGAGGCAAGCGUUAUCCGGAAUGACUGGGCGUAAAGGGUGCGUAGGUGGUUUGACAAGUUAGUAGCGUAACUCCGGGGCUCAACCUCGGAUCUACUACCAAAACUGUUGGGCUUGAGUGCAGGAGGGGUGAAUGGAAUUCCUAGUGUAGCGGCGGAAUGCGUAGAUAUUAGGAGGAACACCAGCGGCGAAGGCGAUUCACUGGACUGUAACUGACACUGAGGCACGAAAGCGUGGGGAGCAAACAGG